GGAGCCGCCGCCAGCUGCCGCCAACGGCCUGUCGGGGCGCUGAGGGCAGGGGCCGGGCGCUCGGCCUCCCCCUGUCCGCUUUGCCAGGCGCACAAGGAUACACCUCAUGUCUUGUAUUGCCCUGUGUUGAUAUUUGCCACAGACAUCCCCAUCACAACUACCGUCAGACUACUGGGUGAAGAAGAAAGAGGCUGAAAACAGAUAUUCCUGUCUUUAUUGCCAGGGUGAAGUAGAUGAGGAUGAGCUAACGGACCACCCUCUCACUUACCACUGAUUGGAGAGCACUGGACAUAGACACUGUUGGAGAAAUUCUUGUUAAAAGAGUUCUGGAUGGGUCAUGCUUGGACCACGUGCAUGUGAGUCAUCCAAACAGCGCGUAAGGGCUAAGAGUGGAAGAACAUGUUCUGUAGAUAAACACGGUCAUUAAAAUUUAGCCUUUUGCAAUUAACACAGUGUUAGUAACCUGUGUGGACCUAAAAAUGGUGUGCUUUUCUUUCUUAAGCAUUGUUUUGGUUUUGAGUUUUGGUUUUUUUUUUUUUUUAAUUAAA